rnacentral:rRNA from 1 species
GACGAACGCUGGCGGCGUGCCUAAUACAUGCAAGUCGAACGCAGUGGGGACGGGUGAGUAAAACGUGGGUAACCUCCCAUCAGAGGGGAUAAAACUUGGAAAAAGGUGCUAAAACGAUACUGAUGGAUGGACCCGCGGUGCAUUGGCGAGUUGGUGAGGUAACGGCUCACCAAGGCCACGAUGCAUAGCUGACCCAAGCGGAGGAGCGCCCACACUGGGAUUGAGACACGGCCCAGACUCCUACGGGAGGCAGCAGUAGGGAAUCUUCGGCAAUGGACGAAAGUCUGACCGAGCAACGCCGCGUGAGUGAAGAAGGUUUUCGGAUCGUAAAACUCUGUUGUUAGAGAAGCGGUAUCUAACCAGAAAGCCACGGCUAACUACGUGCCAGCAGCCGCGGUAAUUC